AUGGCGGAGGAACUGUCCGCCAAGCGUCAUCAUGGCGAGCCGUCGGACAAGAGCAGCAACCUCGUCGACGUUCACGUCCCCGGCGAGAAGCGCGAGUACACCAAAACCCUCACAGGGGUUGAGCUCCACGGCAAGGAUACGCUGGAGAUCGUCUGCACCAGCAAACCAGACAAGGCCGACGAGGUGAUCUCCAGGCUCUGGAAGAAGGCUUGCGGCCAGCAUCGCAGGAUCGUCGGCGUUGGUGUGCACUACACCAGCGAAGAUGAACCUCCCCAUAUGGUAGCAGUCCUGCAGUUCUGCGUCAACGAGCUCUGCUUGGUGUACCACAUCGCAGCGGCCACAAAAUGGCCCAAGCGCCUGAACGACAUGCUGCAGCAUGAGAGGUUGUUCACAUUUGCCGGUUUCAGCAUUGAAAGCGACAAACAGAAGCGGAAGUUGUCCGGUUUGGAGAUCAACCCCAACAAGUUCAUCGACAUUCAGCGCAAGUGGAGAGUUCCAUACACCGGAAAAGAGUAUGACUCCUUGAAUGAUGUUGGAGCCAGCGUCAUCCACCCAUUCUACAAAGGCAUGAAGAAGAACAUCAACACGCAGGAAGACCACAAACUAUGGGGGACCAGCCCGCUGCCAGACAACCUCAUCGAGUACGCAGGAGUAGAUGCGUACGCCACGUACAAGUCAUGGAUCAUAAUCGACUACAUCACAGAUGGUUCGGAAUUUGCAAAAGAGCGGGAGGCUGAAAACGUCUACGACCGCCCCUAUUGCCCCUUUAUGGGAUGA
rnacentral:rRNA from 1 species